rnacentral:sRNA from 1 species
UUUUCAAAAUGUUUCUAUGAUUGUAUCACCAGGCACUGUUCUCAAGAUUGUGUCAGACAAUGAGAGGGCUGCUCUCAGAAGUUCAUGGGAUUCACUUAAAAGUGCUGCUGGUGGAACCCAAGAGGCUGGAGUCAGGC